UACGUAGGGGGCAAGCGUUGUCCGGACUCAUUGGGAGUAAAGCGCGUGUAGGCGGUUCGGUAAGUCCGCUGUGAAAGUCGGGGGCUCAACCCUCGGAUGCCGGUGGAUACUGUCGAGCUUGAGUACGGAAGAGGCGAGUGGAAUUCCUGGUGUAGCGGUGAAAUGCGCAGAUAUCAGGAGGAACACCAAUUGCGAAGGCAGCUCGCUGGGACGUUACUGACGCUGAGACGCGAAAGCGUGGGGAGCAAACAGG
rnacentral:rRNA from 1 species